rnacentral:rRNA from 1 species
GAGGUUCGAAGGCGAUCAGAUACCGCCCUAGUUUCUAACCAUAAACGAUGCCAACCAGGGAUCCGCCUGAGUUCCUCAAAUGACUCGGCGGGCAGCUUCCGGGAAACCAAAGUGUUUGGGUUCCGGGGGAAGUAUGGUUGCAAAGCUGAAACUUAAAGGAAUUGACGGAAGGGCACCACCAGGAGUGGAGCCUGCGGCUUAAUUUGACUCAACACGGGAAAACUUACCCGGCCCGGACACUGGAAGGAUUGACAGAUUAAGAGCUCUUUCUUGAUUCAGUGGGUGGUGGUGCAUGGCCGUUCUUAGUUGGUGGAGCGAUUUGUCUGGUUAAUUCCGAUAACGAACGAGACUCUAGCCUACUAAAUAGGCGUUCCGAUCCUUUAUGUCGGACGUUCUUCUUAGAGGGACAAGCGGCUUUUAGCCGCACGAGACAGAGCAAUAACAGGUCUGUGAUGCCCUUAGAUGUCCGGGGCCGCACGCGCGCUACACUGAAGGAAUCAGCGUGUGCUUUCCCUGUCUGGUAGGACUGGGUAACCCGUUAAACCUCCUUCGUGAUAGGGAUAGGGGCUUGUAAUUGUUCCCCUUGAACGAGGAAUUCCCAGUAAGCACGAGUCAUAAGCUCGUGUUGAUUACGUCCCUGCCCUUUGUACACACCGCCCGUCGCUACUACCGAUUGAAUGAUUUAGUGAGGUCUUCGGACUGGCGCUCGUAGCGACCUUUGGCCGCGCCGACGUGCCGGAAAGAUGACCAAACUUGAUCAUUUAGAGGAAG